UUAAGCGACUAAGCGUACACGGUGGAUGCCCUGGCAGUCAGAGGCGAUGAAGGACGUGCUAAUCUGCGAUAAGCGUCGGUAAGGUGAUAUGAACCGUUAUAACCGGCGAUUUCCGAAUGGGGAAACCCAGUGUGUUUCGACACACUAUCAUUAACUGAAUCCAUAGGUUAAUGAGGCGAACCGGGGGAACUGAAACAUCUAAGUACCCCGAGGAAAAGAAAUCAACCGAGAUUCCCCCAGUAGCGGCGAGCGAACGGGGAGCAGCCCAGAGCCUGAAUCAGUGUGUGUGUUAGUGGAAGCGUCUGGAAAGGCGCGCGAUACAGGGUGACAGCCCCGUACACAAAAAUGCACAUGCUGUGAGCUCGAUGAGUAGGGCGGGACACGUGGUAUCCUGUCUGAAUAUGGGGGGACCAUCCUCCAAGGCUAAAUACUCCUGACUGACCGAUAGUGAACCAGUACCGUGAGGGAAAGGCGAAAAGAACCCCGGCGAGGGGAGUGAAAAAGAACCUGAAACCGUGUACGUACAAGCAGUGGGAGCCUCUUUUAUGGGGUGACUGCGUACCUUUUGUAUAAUGGGUCAGCGACUUAUAUUCUGUAGCAAGGUUAACCGAAUAGGGGAGCCGAAGGGAAACCGAGUCUUAACUGGGCGUUAAGUUGCAGGGUAUAGACCCGAAACCCGGUGAUCUAGCCAUGGGCAGGUUGAAGGUUGGGUAACACUAACUGGAGGACCGAACCGACUAAUGUUGAAAAAUUAGCGGAUGACUUGUGGCUGGGGGUGAAAGGCCAAUCAAACCGGGAGAUAGCUGGUUCUCCCCGAAAGCUAUUUAGGUAGCGCCUCGUGAAUUCAUCUCCGGGGGUAGAGCACUGUUUCGGCAAGGGGGUCAUCCCGACUUACCAACCCGAUGCAAACUGCGAAUACCGGAGAAUGUUAUCACGGGAGACACACGGCGGGUGCUAACGUCCGUCGUGAAGAGGGAAACAACCCAGACCGCCAGCUAAGGUCCCAAAGUCAUGGUUAAGUGGGAAACGAUGUGGGAAGGCCCAGACAGCCAGGAUGUUGGCUUAGAAGCAGCCAUCAUUUAAAGAAAGCGUAAUAGCUCACUGGCCGAGUCGGCCUGCGCGGAAGAUGUAACGGGGCUAAACCAUGCACCGAAGCUGCGGCAGCGACGCUUAUGCGUUGUUGGGUAGGGGAGCGUUCUGUAAGCCUGUGAAGGUGUGCUGUGAGGCAUGCUGGAGGUAUCAGAAGUGCGAAUGCUGACAUAAGUAACGAUAAAGCGGGUGAAAAGCCCGCUCGCCGGAAGACCAAGGGUUCCUGUCCAACGUUAAUCGGGGCAGGGUGAGUCGACCCCUAAGGCGAGGCCGAAAGGCGUAGUCGAUGGGAAACAGGUUAAUAUUCCUGUACUUGGUGUUACUGCGAAGGGGGGACGGAGAAGGCUAUGUUGGCCGGGCGACGGUUGUCCCGGUUUAAGCGUGUAGGCUGGUUUUCCAGGCAAAUCCGGAAAAUCAAGGCUGAGGCGUGAUGACGAGGCACUACGGUGCUGAAGCAACAAAUGCCCUGCUUCCAGGAAAAGCCUCUAAGCAUCAGGUAACAUCAAAUCGUACCCCAAACCGACACAGGUGGUCAGGUAGAGAAUACCAAGGCGCUUGAGAGAACUCGGGUGAAGGAACUAGGCAAAAUGGUGCCGUAACUUCGGGAGAAGGCACGCUGAUAUGUAGGUGAAGCGACUUGCUCGUGGAGCUGAAAUCAGUCGAAGAUACCAGCUGGCUGCAACUGUUUAUUAAAAACACAGCACUGUGCAAACACGAAAGUGGACGUAUACGGUGUGACGCCUGCCCGGUGCCGGAAGGUUAAUUGAUGGGGUCAGCGCAAGCGAAGCUCUUGAUCGAAGCCCCGGUAAACGGCGGCCGUAACUAUAACGGUCCUAAGGUAGCGAAAUUCCUUGUCGGGUAAGUUCCGACCUGCACGAAUGGCGUAAUGAUGGCCAGGCUGUCUCCACCCGAGACUCAGUGAAAUUGAACUCGCUGUGAAGAUGCAGUGUACCCGCGGCAAGACGGAAAGACCCCGUGAACCUUUACUAUAGCUUGACACUGAACAUUGAGCCUUGAUGUGUAGGAUAGGUGGGAGGCUUUGAAGUGUGGACGCCAGUCUGCAUGGAGCCGACCUUGAAAUACCACCCUUUAAUGUUUGAUGUUCUAACGUUGACCCGUAAUCCGGGUUGCGGACAGUGUCUGGUGGGUAGUUUGACUGGGGCGGUCUCCUCCUAAAGAGUAACGGAGGAGCACGAAGGUUGGCUAAUCCUGGUCGGACAUCAGGAGGUUAGUGCAAUGGCAUAAGCCAGCUUGACUGCGAGCGUGACGGCGCGAGCAGGUGCGAAAGCAGGUCAUAGUGAUCCGGUGGUUCUGAAUGGAAGGGCCAUCGCUCAACGGAUAAAAGGUACUCCGGGGAUAACAGGCUGAUACCGCCCAAGAGUUCAUAUCGACGGCGGUGUUUGGCACCUCGAUGUCGGCUCAUCACAUCCUGGGGCUGAAGUAGGUCCCAAGGGUAUGGCUGUUCGCCAUUUAAAGUGGUACGCGAGCUGGGUUUAGAACGUCGUGAGACAGUUCGGUCCCUAUCUGCCGUGGGCGCUGGAGAACUGAGGGGGGCUGGCUCCUAGUACGAGAGGACCGGAGUGGACGCAUCACUGGUGUUCGGGUUGUCAUGCCAAUGGCACUGCCCGGUAGCUAAAUGCGGAAGAGAUAAGUGCUGAAAGCAUCUAAGCACGAAACUUGCCCCGAGAUGAGUUCUCCCUGACUCCUUGAGAGUCCUGAAGGAACGUUGAAGACGACGACGUUGAUAGGCCGGGUGUGUAAGCGCAGCGAUGCGUUGAGCUAACCGGUACUAAUGAACCGUGAGGCUUAACCUU
rnacentral:rRNA from 1 species